rnacentral:rRNA from 1 species
AGCCAGAGAUCCGGAGAUUUCCGAAUGGGGAAACCCGCAUGAGAAACCUCAUGCAUCGUAAAGUGAAUACAUAGCUUUAUGAAGGAACACCUAGGGAACUGAAACAUCUAAGUACCUAGAGGAAGAGAAAGAAAAAUCGAUUUUCUUAGUAGCGGCGAGCGAAAAGGAAAGAGCCCAAACCAGAGAUUUAUCUCUGGGGUUGCGGACAGAACAUAACGUGAAAUUAUGAUUAACCGAACACAACUGGAAAGUUGGACCGUAGGAGGUAAUAGUCCUGUAAGUAAAAGUCAUAAUGAUCAGUUCUGCACCAGAGUACCACGAGACACGUGAAACCUUGUGGGAAGCAGGGAGGACCACCUCCCAAGGCUAAAUACUACCUGAUGACCGAUAGUGAAGCAGUACCGUGAGGGAAAGGUGAAAAGAACCCCGGGAGGGGAGUGAAAUAGAACCUGAAACCAUGUGCCUACAACCGAUCAAAGCACCUUAUGUGUGUGAUGAUGUGCUUUUUGUAGAACGAGCCAACGAGUUACGGUAUGUAGCGAGGUUAAGUACUUAAGGUACGGAGCCGAAGGGAAACCGAGUCUUAAUAGGGCGACUAGUUGCAUGCUGUAGACCCGAAACCGGGUGACCUAUCCAUGGCCAGGUUGAAGCGAGGGUAAAACCUCGUGGAGGACCGAACCACGUUGCUGUUGAAAAAGCAUGGGAUGAGCUGUGGAUAGCGGAGAAAUUCCAAUCGAACUCGGAUAUAGCUGGUUCUCCUCGAAAUAGCUUUAGGGCUAGCGUCGUGAAAUGUGAGUACUGGAGGUAGAGCACUGAAUAGGCUAGGGGGCAUAGCGCUUACCGAACCUUAUCAAACUCCGAAUGCCAGAUACUAUCAGCACGGCAGUCAGACUAUGAAAGAUAAGUUCCAUGGUCAAAAGGGAAACAGCCCAGAUCGUCAGCUAAGGUCCCAAAGUGUAAGUUAAGUGGAAAAGGAUGUGGGAUUUCUAAGACAACUAGGAUGUUGGCUUAGAAGCAGCCACUCAUUAAAAGAGUGCGUAAUAGCUCACUAGUCAAGAGAUCCUGCGCCGAAAAUGUCCGGGGCUCAAACUUACCACCGAAGCUACGGGUUCAUACUUUGUAUGAGCGGUAGAGGAGCGUCGUAAUCGGGCUGAAGUCGUACCGUAAGGAGCGGUGGACUGAUUACGAGUGAGAAUGUUGGCAUUAGUAGCGAGAUGUAGGUGAGAAUCCUACAGGCCGAAUAUCUAAGGUUUCCUGAGUAAAGUUUGUCUUCUCAGGGUUAGUCGGGACCUAAGGCGAGGCCGAGAGGCGUAGUCGAUGGACAAUUGGUUGAUAUUCCAAUACCACUAUAAUCGUUAUUAUCGAUGGUGUGACGGAGAAGGAUAGGAUGUGCCAGCUAUUGGAUGCUGGUCUAAGCGUUGAGGGAGUUAGAACAGGCAAAUCCGUUCUAACAAUCCUAGGGCGUGAUGGGGAAGGUUCCACGGAACCGAAGUAUCUGAUUUCAUGCUUCCAAGAAAAGCAUCUAGAAAGAGAAGUAGUGCCCGUACCGCAAACCGACACAGGUAGAUGAGGAGAGAAUCCUAAGGCCGACGGAAGAAUCACAGUUAAGGAACUAGGCAAAUUGACCCCGUAACUUCGGGAGAAGGGGUGCCUACCAUCUGGUAGGCCGCAGAGAAUAGGCACAAGCAACUGUUUAACAAAAACACAGGUCUCUGCUAAAGCGUAAGCUGAUGUAUAGGGGCUGACGCCUGCCCGGUGCUGGAAGGUUAAGGGGAACACUUAGCGCAAGCGAAGGUGUGAACUUAAGCCCCAGUAAACGGCGGCCGUAACUAUAACGGUCCUAAGGUAGCGAAAUUCCUUGUCAGGUAAGUUCUGACCCGCACGAAUGGCGUAAUGACUUGUGCACUGUCUCAACUGUGAAUCCGGCGAAGUUGUAGUGCGAGUGAAGAUGCUCGCUACCCGCGAUUGGACGGAAAGACCCCGUAGAGCUUUACUGUAGCUUAGCAUUGAAUUUCGGUAUUGUCUGUACAGGAUAGGUGGGAGACUGGGAAAUUAGGGCGUCAGCCUUAAUGGAGUCGUUGUUGGGAUACCACCCUGAUAGUAUUGAAGUUCUAACUGGAUGCCAUGAAACUGGUGACAGGACAUUGUUAGGUGGGCAGUUUGACUGGGGCGGUCGCCUCCUAAAAUGUAACGGAGGCGCCCAAAGGUUCCCUCAGAACGGUCGGAAAUCGUUCGUAGAGUGUAAAGGCAUAAGGGAGCCUGACUGCGAGACCUACAAGUCGAGCAGGGACGAAAGUCGGGCUUAGUGAUCCGGUGGUACCUCGUGGGAGGGCCAUCGCUCAACGGAUAAAAGCUACCUCGGGGAUAACAGGCUGAUCUCCCCCAAGAGUUCACAUCGACGGGGAGGUUUGGCACCUCGAUGUCGGCUCGUCGCAUCCUGGGGCUGAAGUAGGUCCCAAGGGUUGGGCUGUUCGCCCAUUAAAGCGGCACGCGAGCUGGGUUCAGAACGUCGUGAGACAGUUCGGUCCCUAUCCGUCGCGGGCGUAGGAAAUUUGAGAGGAGCUGUCCUUAGUACGAGAGGACCGGGAUGGACUGACCUAUGGUGUACCAGUUGUUUCGCCAGAAGCAUAGCUGGGUAGCUAAGUCGGGAAGGGAUAAACGCUGAAAGCAUCUAAGUGUGAAGCCCACCUCAAGAUGAGAUUUCCCAUAGCAUAAGCUAGUAAGACCCCUUGA